UACGGAGGGUGCGAGCGUUGUUCGGAAUCACUGGGCGUAAAGCGCGCGUAGGCGGUCUGCUAAGUCUGAUGUGAAAGCCCGGGGCUCACCCCCGGAAGUGCAUUGGAAACUGACAGACUGGAGUCCCGGAGAGGAGGGUGGAAUUCCUGGUGUAGCGGUGAAAUGCGUAGAUAUCAGGAGGAACACCGGUGGCGAAGGCGGCCCUCUGGACGGUGACUGACGCUGAGGCGCGAAAGCGUGGGGAGCAAACAGG
rnacentral:rRNA from 1 species